GACGAACGCUGGCGGCGUGCUUAACACAUGCAAGUCGAACGGAAAGGCCCUGCUUUUGUGGGGUGCUCGAGUGGCGAACGGGUGAGUAACACGUGAGUAACCUGCCCUUGACUUUGGGAUAACUUCAGGAAACUGGGGCUAAUACCGGAUAGGAGCUCCUGCUGCAUGGUGGGGGUUGGAAAGUUUCGGCGGUUGGGGAUGGACUCGCGGCUUAUCAGUUUGUUGGUGGGGUAGUGGCUUACCAAGGCUUUGACGGGUAGCCGGCCUGAGAGGGUGGCCGGCCACAUGGGGACUGAGAUACGGCCCAGACUCCUACGGGAGGCAGCAGUGGGGAAUAUUGCACAAUGGGCGGAAGCCUGAUGCAGCAACGCCGCGUGCGGGAUGACGGCCUUCUGGUUGUAAACCGCUUUCGCCUGUGACGAAGCGUGAGUGACGGUAAUGAGUAAAGAAGCACCGGCUAACUACGUG
rnacentral:rRNA from 1 species